UACAGAGGGUGCAAGCGUUAUUCGAAAUUAUUGGGCGUAAAGCGCGCGUAGGCGGUGAGGCAAGUCUUGUGUGAAAGCCUCGGGCUCAACCCGAGAAGGUCAUGAGAAACUACCUUGCUAGAGUAUAAGAGGGGAGAGCGGAAUUCCCAGUGUAGAGGUGAAAUUCGUAGAUAUUGGGAGGAACACCGGUGGCGAAAGCGGCUCUCUGGCUUAUCACUGACGCUCUGGCGCGAAAGCGUGGGGAUCAAACAGG
rnacentral:rRNA from 1 species